rnacentral:rRNA from 1 species
UACCGCGUGGGUGAAGAAGGCCUUCGGGUUGUAAAGCCCUUUUGUUGGGAAAGAAAAGCAGUCGAUUAAUACUCGGUUGUUCUGACGGUACCCAAAGAAUAAGCACCGGCUAACUUCGUGCCAGCAGCCGCGGUAAUACGAAGGGUGCAAGCGUUACUCGGAAUUACUGGGCGUAAAGCGUGCGUAGGUGGUUGUUUAAGUCUGUUGUGAAAGCCCUGGGCUCAACCUGGGAAUUGCAGUGGAUACUGGGCGACUAGAGUGUGGUAGAGGGUAGUGGAAUUCCCGGUGUAGCAGUGAAAUGCGUAAAGAUCGGGAGGAACAUCCAUGGCGAAGGCAGCUACCUGGACCAACACUGACACUGAGGCACGAAAGCGUGGGGAGCAAACAGGAUUAGAUACCCUGGUAGUCCACGCCCUAAACGAUGCGAACUGGAUGUUGGGUGCAAUUUGGCACGCAGUAUCGAAGCUAACGCGUUAAGUUCGCCGCCUGGGGAGUACGGUCGCAAGACUGAAACUCAAAGGAAUUGACGGGGGCCCGCACAAGCGGUGGAGUAUGUGGUUUAAUUCGAUGCAACGCGAAGAACCUUACCUGGUCUUGACAUGUCGAGAACUUUCCAGAGA